UACAGAGGGUGCGAGCGUUAAUCGGAAUUACUGGGCGUAAAGCGUGCGUAGACGGUUACGUAAGUCGGAUGUGAAAUCCCCGGGCUCAACCUGGGAAUUGCAUUCGAGACUGUGUAGCUGGGGUGCGGAAGAGGGAAGCGGAAUUUCCGGUGUAGCGGUGAAAUGCGUAGAUAUUGCUAAGAACACCAAUGGCGAAGGCAGCUUGCUGGGCCACUCCUGACACUGAGGUACGAAAGCGUGGGGAGCGAACAGG
rnacentral:rRNA from 1 species